UACGUAGGGUCCGAGCGUUGUCCGGAAUUAUUGGGCGUAAAGAGCUCGUAGGCGGUUUGUCGCGUCUGCUGUGAAAUCCCGAGGCUCAACCUCGGGUCUGCAGUGGGUACGGGCAGACUGGAGUGCGGUAGGGGAGAACGGAAUUCCUGGUGUAGCGGUGAAAUGCGCAGAUAUCAGGAGGAACACCGGUGGCGAAGGCGGGUCUCUGGGCCGAUACUGACGCUGAGGAGCGAAAGCGUGGGGAGCGAACAGG
rnacentral:rRNA from 1 species